rnacentral:rRNA from 1 species
UUGACCUCGGAUCAGGUAGGAUUACCCGUUGAACUUAAGCAUAUCAAUAAGCGGAGGAAAAGGAACCCACAGGGAUUGCCCCAGUAACGGCGAGUGAAGCGGCAACAGCUCAGAUUUGGAAUCUGGCCUUCGGGCCCGAGUUGUAAUCUGGAGAGGAUGCUUCUGGCGCGGUGCCUUCCGAGUUCCCUGGAACGGGACGCCGGAGAGGGUGAGAGCCCCGUACGGUUGGACACCUAGCCUCUGUGAAGCUCCUUCGACGAGUCGAGUAGUUUGGGAAUGCUGCUCAAAAUGGGAGGUAAAUUUCUUCUAAAGCUAAAUAUUGGCCAGAGACCGAUAGCGCACAAGUAGAGUGAUCGAAAGAUGAAAAGCACUUUGAAAAGAGAGUUAAAAAGUACGUGAAAUUGUUGAAAGGGAAG